UACGGAGGGAGCUAGCGUUGUUCGGAAUUACUGGGCGUAAAGCGCACGUAGGCGGCUUUGUAAGUUAGAGGUGAAAGCCUGGGGCUCAACUCCAGAACUGCCUUUAAAACUGCAUCGCUUGAAUCCAGGAGAGGUGAGUGGAAUUCCGAGUGUAGAGGUGAAAUUCGUAGAUAUUCGGAAGAACACCAGUGGCGAAGGCGGCUCACUGGACUGGUAUUGACGCUGAGGAGCGAAAGCGUGGGGAGCGAACAGG
rnacentral:rRNA from 1 species